UACUUUACAAAGGACUUAUGGGCCACCCU
rnacentral:sRNA from 1 species